GACAGACAGACAGACAGACAGACAGACAGACAGACAGACAGACACACACACACAAAGACACACACAGACACAGAUACACACACACACACACACACACACACACACACACACACACACACACACACACCCAGCUCGAUGCCAAACCCCAGUGCUUUGAUAAACAGUUUGUUUCAGACGUGAUUCCGAGUUUUUGGAAAGUUUGUAAAAAAUGUGAGAAAGUACCGUUGAGUCUGGAGGAGCACACGCCGGUACCGCUGUCUGAGAAAAA